AUUGAACGCUGGCGGCAUGCCUUACACAUGCAAGUCGAACGGCAGCACGGGAGCUUGCUCCUGGUGGCGAGUGGCGAACGGGUGAGUAAUACAUCGGAACGUACCCUGAAGUGGGGGAUAGCGUAGCGAAAGUUACGCUAAUACCGCAUAUUCUGUGAGCAGGAAAGAGGGGGGAUCGCAAGACCUCUUGCUUUAGGAGCGGCCGAUGUCGGAUUAGCUAGUUGGUGAGGUAAGGGCUCACCAAGGCGACGAUCCGUAGCGGGUCUGAGAGGAUGAUCCGCCACACUGGGACUGAGACACGGCCCAGACUCCUACGGGAGGCAGCAGUGGGGAAUUUUGGACAAUGGGCGCAAGCCUGAUCCAGCCAUGCCGCGUGAGUGAAGAAGGCC
rnacentral:rRNA from 1 species